rnacentral:rRNA from 1 species
AAGAUUAAGCCAUGCAAGACCCAGCAUAAACAAGUUGAUACGGCAGAAAUUUGAAUGAACCAUUAUAUCCACAAUGGUGUACGCUAUGGGACGUUAUUACUAGGCACCGUAGAGCCUCGAGAGGCAAUACUUGCAAAUAUACUAAAUACAUCCCUUGAGAGGUAGCAUUUAUUAGCAGAAACCAAUGCAGAAUUACCACGGUAUCCAUGGAAUAAGGAAAAAUCAAAGGAUCGCAAAUUGAUGUAAUGAACCGUUUGCGUUUCUGCCCUAUAAGCGUUGGAAGGUAGACUAGCACCUACCAUGGCA